rnacentral:rRNA from 1 species
UACGUAGGCAGCAAGCGUUGUUCGGAGUUACUGGGCGUAAAGAGUGCGUAGGCGGUCCUGUAAGUUUGGUGUGAAAUCUCCCGGCUCAACUGGGAGGGUGCGCCGAAGACUGCAGGGCUUGAGUAUGGGAGAGGUAAGCGGAAUUCCUGGUGUAGCGGUGAAAUGCGUAGAUAUCAGGAGGAACACCUGUGGUGUAGACAGCUUACUGGACCAUCACUGACGCUGAGGCACGAAAGCCAGGGGAGCGAACGGG